AGCGUAGACGGUGUGGCAAGUCUGAUGUGAAAGGCAUGGGCUCAACCUGUGGACUGCAUUGGAAACUGUCAUACUUGAGUGCCGGAGGGGUAAGCGGAAUUCCUAGUGUAGCGGUGAAAUGCGUAGAUAUUAGGAAGGACACCAGUGGCGAAGGCGGCUGUCUGGUCUGUAACUGACGCUGAGGCUCGAAAGCAUGGGUAGCGAACA
rnacentral:rRNA from 1 species